AAGAAAACAUCUUUCCAGGUGUUGGAAAACUUGGUGGAAAAUUCAUUGCCUUAUCUCAAGUAUAGCUAUAAAAAGUACAGGGUUCGACACAAGAAGAAUGAGAAAGGAGAAGCAAGAGAAAAGUUCCAGUUUAUUUCUAGAGUAGAGAAAGAAUACCUGAAGCCCUCUUACUCUGCUAGCAUUGGUGAGGAGCUUGAAGAUGGGCUAUUUGAUGAUUUCUUAGAAUUGGCAUUGUAGUUUGGAAUGAUUUUGAUGUUUGCUUGCGCAUUCCCACC